rnacentral:rRNA from 1 species
AGAUAGAGGAGUGCUCGAAGAGAACCGUAACACAGGUGCUGCAUGGCUGUCGUCAGCUCGUGUCGUGAGAUGUUGGGUUAAGUCCCGCAACGAGCGCAACCCUUGUCAUUAGUUGCUACAUUCAGUUGGGCACUCUAAUGAGACUGCCGGUGACAAACCGGAGGAAGGUGGGGAUGACGUCAAGUCCUCAUGGCCCUUAUAGUGGGGCUACACACGUCAUACAAUGGGAUGGUACAAAGGGUCGCCAACCCGCGAGGGGGAGCCAAUCCCAUAAAGCCAUUCGUAGUCCGGAUCGCAGUCUGCAACUCGACUGCGUGAAGUCGGAAUCGCUAGUAAUCGUGAAUCAGAAUGUCACGGUGAAUACGUUCCCGGGCCUU